AUAUGGAGAUCUCUACUGUUGAUGGCUUCCAGGGUCGAGAAAAAGAAGCCAUCAUCAUUUCAAUGGUUCGGUCAAACUCAAAGAAAGAGGUGGGAUUUCUAAGUGACCGGCGAAGAAUGAAUGUUGCGGUGACACGGGCAAGGAGACAAUGUUGUCUCGUCUGUGACACUGAAACAGUAAGUAGUGACAAAUUUUUGAAGCGGAUGAUUGAAUACUUUGAAGAACAUGGUGAAUAUUUAAGUGCUUCAGAGUACGGAAAUGAAUAAGUGAAAAAGUUCCAUGAGAAUUUCCCUUGGUUGAUGUGAGAAAUAUAGUUCCAUAUUUAUAGGCGGCAUUAAUGCCAUAAUACUUUGUAAGAAAAUCACAUGGUGGCUUGCUGCAGAUCAGCUAUGACUUGAGAUUAAUUUAACAAUCAGCAGAAAGCAAAAGUAACUUUAUUAAAGGAAUUUAUGAUGAAUCUCUUCUUUUGUCAUAUUGGCUGGUUGUACGCCUUCUCUUUGUGUAUGUUGAUCAGUUAUGAUUCUUGUCUUCCUAGUAUUAGAGCAUGAGACUAUCACCAUCACAGAGUGAUAGUUCAACGGCAUCAGAUCCUCGAGAAUUCAAUCAAGCUAUUUUAAUGAUAAAUAUUGUGCGAGUCUGUGGUAAUGAAU